UACGGAGGUUGCAAGCGUUGUUCGGAUUUACUGGGCGUAAAGGGAGCGCAGGCGGCCAGGUCAGUCUGAAGUGAAAGCCCGGGGCUCAACCUCGGAAUUGCUUUGGAUACUUCCUGGCUUGAGUACGUGAGAGGCGAGUGGAAUUCCAGGUGUAGCGGUGAAAUGCGUAGAUAUCUGGAGGAACAUCUGUGGCGAAAGCGACUCGCUGGCACGAAACUGACGCUGAGGCUCGAAAGCGUGGGGAGCGAACGGG
rnacentral:misc_RNA from 1 species